rnacentral:rRNA from 1 species
UACAGAGGGUGCUAGCGUUGUUCGGAAUCAUUGGGCGUAAAGGGCGUGUAGGCGGUUUGUUAAGUCAUGUGUGAAAUCCCUCGGCUCAACCAGGGAACGACGCAUGAAACUGACAAGCUAGAGUACCAAAGAGGGGGGUGGAAUUCCCGGUGUAGCGGUGAAAUGCGCAGAUAUCAGGAGGAACACCGAUUGCGAAGGCAGCUCGCUGGGACGUUACUGACGCUGAGACGCGAAAGCGUGGGGAGCAAACAGG